GACGAACGCUGGCGGCGUGCUUAACACAUGCAAGUCGAACGGAAACGCCCUGCCUUUGUGGGGUGCUCGAGUGGCGAACGGGUGAGUAACACGUAAGUAACCUGCCCUUGACUUUGGGAUAACUUCAGGAAACUGGGGAUAAUACCGGAUAGGAGCACCUGCUGCAUGGUGGGGGUUGGCAAGUUUCGGCGGUUGGGGAUGGACUCGCGGCUUAUCAGCUUGUUGGUGGGGUAGUGGCUUACGAAGGCUUUGACGGGUAGCCGGCAUGAGAGGUUGACCAGCGACAAGACGACUGAGGGACGGAGCAGUGUCGAACUGGAGGCAACGGGGGGAAGUAUGACACAGUGAGCGGGAGUGUGAGACGACAGCGCCGCGGGCGGAAUGACGGCCUGCAGGGUGUGAACCGCUUUCGCCUGAGACGGAGCGGGAGUGACGGUAAUGGAUAAAGAAGCACCGGCUAACUACGUG
rnacentral:rRNA from 1 species